CUUGCAUAGCGGGAUCUUUGCACAGCACCUCUGGCACCUUGCACAACCUCUUGCAUAGUGGAGUCUUUGCACAGUACCAGCACCUUGCACAACAGGCCUUUGCAUGGCACCUAGCUCCUUGCACAGCUCCUUGCACAGCCAGGCCUUUGCACAGCACCUUGCACAGCUCCUUGCACAGCCAGAGCUUUGCAUGGCACCUUGCACAGCACUUUGCACAGCCUGACCUUUGCACAGCUCUUUGCACAUCUCCUUGCACAGCAGGACCUUUGCACAGCACCAGCUGCUUGCACAGCAGGGCAUUUGCUGGGCACCUUGCACAGCACCUUGCACAGCUCCUUGCACAGCCAGAGCUUUGCAUGGCACCUUGCACAGCACUUUGCACAGCCUGACCUUUGCACAGCUCUUUGCACAUCUCCUUGCACAGCAGGACCUUUGCACAGCACCAGCUGCUUGCACAGCAGGGCAUUUGCUGGGCACCUUGCACAGCACCUUGCACAGCCUCUUGCACAGGCAGGUCUUUGCACAGCACCUUGCACAGCAGGACCUUUGCACAGCACCAGCUUCUUGCACAGCAGGGCUUUUGCACAGCAGUGCUCAGCCCCAUAGGGCAGCUGGGGCAUGGUGCUGCCCCCUCCCACCCCAUAACCUGUUGUCCCCUUUUGCUUUUCAUUGCAGAGUGUUCAAGAAAGCGAGUCCCAACGGGAAGCUCACGGUGUACCUGGGCAAGAGGGACUUUGUGGACCACAUCGACGUGGUGGACCCCGUGGGUGAGUGGGGCAGAGGAGAUGUGAAGGGGAUGCACGUCGUUUUGGGUGGCUGUGCCCUUUGCAAGGGGGAGAAAAGGUGGCCAGCGUGUGUCCCCAACCCCAUAUUGUGUCCCCAACUCCAUAUUGUGUCCCCAACCUUCAUGUCCUGUCCCCAACCCUAUGCCUUGUCCCCAACCCUCAUGUCCUGUCCACAACCCUAUGCCAUGUCCCCAACCCUCAUGUCCUGUCCCCAACCCCAUGCCAUGUCCCCAACCCUCAUGUCCUGUCCACAACCCUAUGCCAUGUCCCCAACCCUUAUGUCCUGUCCACAACCCUAUGCCAUGUCCCCAACCCCAGUGCUGUAUGCCCAACCCCUUAUUGUGUCCCCAGCCUCUGUGCUGUGUCCCCAACCCCAGUGCUAUGUCCCCAACCCUCAUGUCAUGUCCCCAAUCCCUGUGCUAUGUUCCCAACCUGAUGCCAUGUCCCCAAUCCCUGUACCACGUCCCCAACCCUCAUGUCAUGUCCCCAA
rnacentral:lncRNA from 1 species